AAGGCCUCAGCGGGAGAGGCCGGACGCGAACCGCAAGGGGCGCGAUCCGGCGCCGAAGGAGCAACCGCCCCGGAAACUCUCAGGCAAAAGGACCGCUGGGCAAGC
rnacentral:ncRNA from 2 species